rnacentral:rRNA from 1 species
AGAGUUUGAUCCUGGCUCAGAAUGAACGUUGGCGGCGUGGAUUAGGCAUGCAAGUCGAGCGGUAGGAGUUCACUCACCCGGCGCACACCCCCGGCCGAAAUGGCCGGGCUAUAUAGCCCAGCCAUCUUGGCCGGGAAUUGUUGUGUUCCAGGUGAGUGGACUCUGAGAGCGGCGAAAGGGAGAGUAACGCGUAGUUACGUACCCCGGGGUCCGGAAUAGCCACGGGAAACUGUGGGUAAUGCCGGAUAAUAUCCCCGGAUCAAAGGUGUGAUUCCGCCCUGGGAGCGGACUGCGUUGUACUAGCUUGUUGGUGGGGUAAUGGCCUACCAAGGCGAUGAUGCAUAGCGGGUGUGAGAGCAUGACCCGUCUCACUGGGACUGAGACACUGCCCAGACACCUACGGGUGGCUGCAGUCGAGAAUCUUCGGCAAUGGGCGAAAGCCUGACCGAGCGACGCCGUGUGUGGGAUGAAGGCCUUCGGGUUGUAA